CCUACGGGAGGCAGCAGUGGGGGAUAUUGCACAAUGGGGGAAACCCUGAUGCAGCGACGCCGCGUGGGCGAAGAAGUAUUUCGGUAUGUAAAGCCCUAUCAGCAGGGAAGAAGAAAUGACGGUACCUGAGUAAGAAGCACCGGCUAAAUACGUGCCAGCAGCCGCGGUAAUACGUAUGGUGCAAGCGUUAUCCGGAUUUACUGGGUGUAAAGGGAGCGUAGACGGCCAUGCAAGCCAGGGGUGAAAGCCCGGGGCCCAACCCCGGGACUGCCCUUGGAACUGCAUGGCUGGAGUGCGGGAGGGGUAGGCGGAAUUCCUAGUGUAGCGGUGAAAUGCGUAGAUAUUAGGAGGAACACCAGUGGCGAAGGCGGCCUACUGGACGGUGACUGACGCUGAGGCUCGAAAGCGUGGGGAGCAAACAGGAUUAGAUACCCCAGUAGUC
rnacentral:rRNA from 1 species